rnacentral:rRNA from 1 species
AACGAACGCUGGCGGCAGGCUUAACACAUGCAAGUCGAGCGCCCCGCAAGGGGAGCGGCAGACGGGUGAGUAACGCGUGGGAAUCUACCCAUCUCUACGGAAUAACGCAUGGAAACGGGUGCUAAUACCGUAUACGUCCUUCGGGAGAAAGAUUUAUCGGAGAUGGAUGAGCCCGCGUUGGAUUAGCUAGUUGGUGGGGUAAAGGCCUACCAAGGCGACGAUCCCUCGCUGGUCUGAGAGGAUGAUCAGCCACACUGGGACUGAGAAACGGCCCAGACUCCUACGGGAGGCAGCAGUGGGGAAUAUUGGACAAUGGGCGCAAGCCUGAUCCAGCCAUGCCGCGUGAGUGAUGAAGGCCCUAGGGUUGUAAAGCUCUUUCACCGGUGAAGAUAAUGACGGUAACCGGAGAAGAAGCCCCGGCUAACUGCGUGCCAGCCGCCGCAGUAACAC